rnacentral:rRNA from 1 species
CGUAGAGAUACGGCCCCCCUUGUGGUCGGUAUACAGGUGGUGCAUGGCUGUCGUCAGCUCGUGUCGUGAGAUGUUGGGUUAAGUCCCGCAACGAGCGCAACCCUUGUCUUAUGUUGCCAGCACGUAAUGGUGGGGACUCGUAAGAGACUGCCGGGGUCAACUCGGAGGAAGGUGGGGACGACGUCAAGUCAUCAUGCCCCUUAUGUCCAGGGCUUCACACAUGCUACAAUGGCCGGUACAGAGGGCUGCGAUACCGUGAGGUGGAGCGAAUCCCUUAAAGCCGGUCUCAGUUCGGAUCGGGGUCUGCAACUCGACCCCGUGAAGUCGGAGUCGCUAGUAAUCGCAGAUCAGC